UUUUUUUUUGGGGGGGGGGGGGGGCUGCUACAUCAUAAUACAUUGAAGGUAUACAAUCUUAAUUUAAGACAUAAAAAAAGCAAAAUUCCCUCUUUGGUAUGUUUCUCAAGUGGUUAAUCAACCUAUUUCUUAAAAAGUACAUGUAGUUUUGCAUUUUAAAUUUUGUAUGUUUAAUAUUCAAACCUUUUGUUUGGUUGUUGUUUUUUAAUGUUGUACCUACUGCUUUCUCCUGUCACUGUGAAUGUGCAUAUAUGUUAUUUGUGCAUAACGUACACAAUACUUCUGAGCUGUCAUUUUAGCACAGGAUCUCAUGCUAACAGAAGAGCGGUCCUGGGCUUAGCUACCAGGAUGCAGAGAUCCUUCAGAACAAUGCACAAGAAGAACCAGCUCCUCCUGCGUCUGUUUGCUUUUAUUCUUAGGAAAGUACUAAACCCAAGAAACUCUAAUGAGCCAGUUUGCUUGCGGCAGUAAGCAAGAUCCAAUAUACAUUUUUCUUGCUGGCUUUUAGAUUGAGUAGAAUGAGUAUUGUGUAGUUAAAUAAAUGAUUCAAAACUGUCUAUCACUAGCACCAAGACAGGAGAAAAAAAAGUCAGCUUUUGGAAUAAAUGUAUAUAAAUAUUUGUUUCAGCUAAAAUACAUUACUUUACUACUAACUUUAAUCAAGCAAACAUAUUUCGGAUAAUUCUUGGGAAGAUGCUUUGCUACAUUCAUUGACAGCUCUUAAAGUAUCAAGAUAGGAGAAGCAUCUCUAUAAGCUUCUGGAUUUUCACUGACAUAAUUUGGUUUCCAUGCACUGAUAACAUUGAUUCUGGUGGUAACAAUUACAUUUUUUCAGGUAGUAGAAAAAAAAAUCAAUCUCAAAAUGCCUGAUUUUGUAAAACAUUUGUCCCUGACAUUACCUUGAUGUAGAAAGAAAGGCCUCUGAAUAUCGAUUGUGCCAUACCAAGACUUAAAAUGGCAGAUGUAUGAAUCCAGAUAAAAGUACUGUCUGUGACAUAAGACAUGUGGGACAACCAUGUUGUUUAAAGUACUCUGAGCAGCACUACUUAGCAGUUGUAAACUUGAUGGUUUCCAUAGCAGAGAAGCUGUAAGCAACUGUACUCCAACGUGUAAACAUCCAACAUGUAAAUAAGAACUUAGCUAAUCGUUUGGUUCUCUUGAAUACAAAGUGAAAACUGUACCCACUUUGGUUGUACUUUAGUUUCUCUUCCUAGCAAUGAAAACAUUACAUGAAGAGCUCUCCAGUGAAGCUGGUAUAAAUACUGGGCAGGAGGAGCUUGUGGAAAUAGCAGUCAGUUACAAGGUAGCCCUAACCCUGCUGCAUUGAUUACGCAGGGGUUACCAUACACAGACACUGAUACUGAAUAGAGGUAAAAGAUUUGUAGAUUGUUUUAAGAGAAGACAGCUAACUAGCCUGCCUGUAUUUUGUUCGAAAACUGAAUCUGAGGUAUUGGCUUCUAUCAGUGUUUGUCACCAAAACCCUGCUCAAACAGUUUUGUUGGGAUUCAGAAGUGUGUCCCUAAAAAAGAGCUCUGAAAUUUAUUUCAUCCUUGAGCUUGCUGACCUGGGAUUGUCUUUAUGUCCAUAUUUGUCCCAUCCUUCGUCUUCUCACAUUUCUACCUUGCACAGUUCAGAUUACCAGCAUUUCCAUAAUGCAGCCCAGAUAUGCCAUACCUGGCAGUGGAGUACUUCGGACGGAUUUCUGUCUAUCACUGUUGCUAGAGCUCCUGUUUUCAUAUCAUCCUUUCUUACUUUUGUCCAUUAAAUGUGAUUAACCAUUUCUCUGCUAUACAGACACCUUUGCAUUUUCCCAUUUAUCAUCUUUCUACACUAGUUUCUUGCCAAGUAACCACAGCCAUUCCUAAAACUUCAUCUGCCAGGUAGACCCCAAAUGCUUUGUCUAUCCCUUGCGCCUUCUGCUUAGCUGCUCUGAUGUGACAGGUUGAGCCUCCAUUCAGCAUCAGCCUGUGGCGCUUUCCCCUUCUUUCAGUGCCUGGUCCCUUCCCCAGUCAGGAGUUACAAUGCCUCUGCUCUUUGGCCUCAUUUUAUGUUGUCUGCAGGAGGAAAGCAAUUAACAAAUGUCACUGUUUCUCCUGUUUUGUGCCCACAGAUCCGUGCCAUGCAUACAACUGCAGUACAUGAAGAUGGUAUAGUAUUAUGUUGCACAGUAUGUGAAGGGUGCAUUCUAUCAGUCCUUCCAGCUCAGUACAGCAUAUUGACUAAUUCUGGGUAUUGAAAUUGCUGUUUUAAAUGUAAGUUACAGCAGUAAUAAAUGAGGCUUUAUCCACCAGAUCCCCAACAUUUUGUAUGUUACUCUGAAAAUCCUUUUACGAGCCCAAUUACAAGUUAGCACUUAUUUUAAUUAAACUUACAGCACAGCACACAGGUUAGUUAACCAGUGCUCCAAAGCUCCAUUCAGUUUUAGAGGAAAUUAGGAAGCACUUCCAAUCAAGUUUAUCUGUCAUUCUUCACACACUGUGCUUGAGCAUACAUUAUAAAAAUGGUAAUAGAGGAUUAUAUGUCUCCAGGGAAGAUAAUGGGAAUGUGAAACUUCUCUCUUCUAGGCUGUUUUUUUCCAAUUUAGUUUAGAUUCUCGAGUUUUAAAAAUGCAUUUGAUGUUUGACUACAGUUUAGAUGUCUGCAUUAAAGGAGCAGGUGACCUCAGCUUCCAAGCCAGAGGGCUAUAAAGCCGCCUCACCAUGUUAAAUCCCUUAUUGUGAAUCUCAGCAAAAAACUGAUUGGUUUAUAGGACUGAAAAUGCUUGCUGCCUUCAACUAUGAGUCAAAUCCUGUCUGUGGCAGAAGCUAAUUGGAUGGGUGUUGCUUGUAAAAUGCCUCUCCUGCAUCUUUUUCUGAUUUUCAUUCCCAAGGCUUUCAGCCCGAAAGAGUUGUGUUUGAAAAAGAUGAAAAGAAGAAUUUGGUUUUAGGGAAUGCAGCAACACAGUCCUUUGUUAAAUCUGGUUUGAUGUGUCUCUCCAUUGACAUCUAGUGUCCAUACAGAAAGAUCUUUAGAUUGCUCACAGCCAUAUUGGCAAUAUUUAUCUCUAAACUUUUAAAGAUUUCUCCAUAUGUAGCAAUUAAGACUUACUAUUAACAAUAGCAGGUCAACCAGGAGGUGAUACCAAUGGGGAAAACACAGGAAUCCUCCUACACUUAACAUUUUGUUUUAUGCAGUGACAUCCAUAUAUUUUUGUGUUCCAAAUUUCUCCAGAAACCCAUAGAAAUAUGAUCCUCUUUAAAGUUAUCCUGUGAACAUCUGCAAAAUACUUUUAGUCUCUAUUAUCUUCUCUCAGAGCAUACAGCAAUUGUGAACCAGUAUUCAAUACAGAUUUUAUGAAGUAUUGUAGCUCUAUAAUCAGAUAUUACUCUUUCUUUCAUUAAGCAAGAGCUUAUUUCACUGACAGAGGGCUCUGUUAAGCCCUAUCUUCAUUAAACUCCAUUGUAUCCCUAAAAGCUGUUUAACAAAGAACUCUUCUUAUCUACUGUUACCUUCACAGUGAUAACAAGCUAUUUUGCUAUUUAUCCAGAACGUGGUAUAAAUUCAGAGCUGCUACAAAAGAAUUUGCUGUUUUGUUUAUGCAAAAUCUUGAACAGUAGCAGCAAGCAAUUAGUCAUGCCGCUGCUGUACACUUUGCUCCAAAAGCAACUCCACCUUCACAACACUUCCUACUCUUUCAGUCAGCAUUAGGUGCUUACGCUGGGAUAGCACACACAUAAGAAUUACACUAGAAUCCUAGACCCACCAUGCCAAGUCCUUCCCUGUUCUGAAAACUCCCUGUAGGUUCAUGUUUUAAGCAUUUCCAUCAUCGGGUUCCAUUUUCAAAGAAAGUUACUUGAAAUAUAUUACUUUACAAAAGCUUAAAAAGUAAUGUUUGAUACAUUAUCUCUUCAAUCAUGAGAAGAAAAUCCAGUCAGUUAAGAACUUGCUAUCAAAAUAUGUAACAUGCACAUAUAGGCGUUAGCUGCAGAUUUAUUUAGCAAACACCUAUGGUAGAUCAUUGACUUCUACUUUCAAAGCACCAGCGGUCUAAACUCUGCAAGAACCUUGGACUUACUCUGCCAUCUUAUAAUAAUAUCGGAGUGAGUUGGUGGCUAGGAUUUCUUGUAUGUAUGUAUGUAUACUUUGUUGUUUUUUAAAGUGAUAAAGUUGCAACACCAGCUUUCUGACUCCAAGACUAGCUUACAGUACAGGUACAGAUCUUACCCUCUGAGCAGAGAAAUGCUUUCAGUUUCUCAGCAGCAAGCCCUCUAGCAGCUUGAGUACCCUGGCAGGCUGGGAUAAGAAGGCCUUCCAUCCUUUCAACCAACAAAAUUUGGUGGUUAAUUUGUCUUUAUUGACAAUCUGAAGCAUAGCAGGUGACAGCCAUUAACACUGCUUCCAAAUCAUUAAGACUAGUGCAGCAGCCUUAUUAGAGCCAGCUGGAUUUGGAAAGAAAUAAUCUAUCAAGGAAAGUGAUCAGAAAAUUCCAGUUAACUAAAAAAGAAGCAGCCUCUUUUUGUAGUGUUGCAGCCUUAGGAGAAAAGUAGGACAAGUCCAAGGUGCGUGCUGGGCACAGCUGCAGGCUGGGACUGACUGGAUGGCUGUAAGGGACUUGUGGACUCCAUUGUUUCCUGCUUGUGUUUAUGAUUUAUCCCUCUGGCCAGCCUUCUCUCAGUAUCUCAUAAGCUCUAGAAGAGCUCUCACUUGGUUUGGUGAUAUCUGGCACAACAGGAAAUUUCUGAUGUACAAAUAAUGAAGCUUUGCCUUGCAGAAAUGGGAAACUUCUGUUGAAAAAGAGCUAGAACAGCCUUGAACCUUUUCUGUGAAGGUCAGAGGAGGGUGAUAAAAUAUUUCCCACACUUUCUGGAAAAGUACUUUUCAUCAGUUUCUGUGGAUCUCUGUCAAAUAUUUACUCUCUCCUUCCUUUCAGUGUUACAUUAACUAAAUUACUUGUUACAUUAGCCCAACUAUCAGAGAAUCUGUACUAAAAUUACCUGCUGAAUCAAUCUGUCCAAAAUAAGACUGACAGCGUCAUUAAAAUGGAUCCUGCUUAGAUUAUUCAUAAUUUACCUAUAAAGCAAAACAUGUGAUCAUGAACAGUAAAGGAAUGUGACAAUAAUUUCCUUCCGAGCUGUGGGUUCUGGCAAAGGCUUUAAUCCGAAACUGCUUUACAGUGAGAAUUACAAAUACACAUUUGUAUCUACCCUUGUUAUGAUCUGUCAGCCACCCUGACUUUUCAGCCCUGGCAGGACUCAGUGCUUCCAGCAAGGCCAGAUCCUGGCUCCAUGCUGUCUGUGGAAGACAGCAGUGGCUGCAGCUGGAAGCAUCGUGUUGCUUCAGCAACACCUCACGCCCCCAGGCACCGCGUUGCCUCGGUGACACCAGGUGGGCAGAUGCUGCCAGAUCAAGUUGUCUCAAGGCAGCUACCCCCAAAAAGCAGGGCAGCCUUGGCCGUUAGGGAAGAAGGGUCAAUGAGCAGGGGUGGGUGGCCUCUUUGUAGGACCAUUCACAGCCUGGUUUUGAAUGAGGAGACUGACUGGUGUGUGUUUCCUUGCAGAUGGUGAGACAGGGCUACUGCCAAAAGGAGCUUAGUAUUUAAUGUGUUAAGAUAAGACAGGGGGAAGGACAAUGUCAGCAGGAGGGGAUUGGCUGAAGGGAGCAAGUGCUGAGGCCAUUGUUCUUGGUUUACAUAAUCAGGACCUGCAAAUGUAUUGCAACAUCAGAAAUAAUUGGAGAGCAAUGACUCUUGUUACACUAUGCAUCUAUGAAUUGAGGUAGUUGUGUACAUUCAUUCUAGAAUAGUCUACUAUUGCAUUAUGGUGGAUAAACAUUGCAAAGUGUCUUGUAGGCAGAGGAUUAAAUAUCCAUUUACAAAGGCAAAUACCUCUGUUAAGAUUGUUAGACAUAAAACCUCCCACCCAGGUGACUGCAGGCAGUACAGCAAUUAGACCUAACCAGCAGGAAAAUGGUGACAGGUUUCCAAGAGCCCAGAGGUCCUUUAUCACAGCUGUGAUCAGCACCAAAAUUUAUUCUGUGGAUUCACUGGAGCUACCUGCAUAACUGCUAAUAAGAGGAAAGGGUUCCAAGUCUGAUGUGUAGACGUCAGUUAUCCAUGGCAUCUGUUGAAAAACAAGAAGAUGUAAAGGACAGAAGAAUUUGCACAAAAAGACAGGUAAUUUCCUUACCACUUAUCUUUUUCUGUAGGAAUCUUUUCUCCCUUUGCAGUGUUGGAUUGAGAAGCCUCUUGCCUACUGUAAUUAGCUCUUGAAUAAACAGCAUAUUUUGAACACAAGCCUCUGUGUCCUGUUUUUGUGUGUUAGCUAUAAUUAGGGCUUGAUUUGUUUGACUGGUUGUUCUUCUAAGCCUUGCACUGAUUCUUGCAGAAGAGCAUAGCUUGCUUUAAGGGGUCUAGAGUUUCUUUUAGCUUCUAGAAACAUCACUACAUGCUGCAGCGUUAUGUCUCAGCUAUAUUAACUUACAUGUUUUAAAGUAAACAUUUCUGUAUUUAUCAUUGUAGCCUUCCUGCUUGAUGUAGCCUUGCAUUUCUGAUAUUUAGCUUCAACCUCUGUGCCCUUCUUUGUACAUUUUCUGCAAUACAUUAGCUGUCUUUAUCCUCACAAUGAAAACUAUGCUUAAUUGUGUUUACAAAGGCUUCCUGAACUGUGAGAAGUGUUUCUCAGUGUGUGUGGUUUUGCAUCAUUUAGCCUUGAAAGGGUGCAGUUUUCCCUGACCUCUUGCUGUUUUUUCUCAGUGACUCUGGUAAUUGCAUCAGUAGCUUUGGGAUUCACAUUUUCCUUUCACAUGUAGGAAAGAUCCAACCUUUACUUACCCCCCUCCCAGCUGAAUCACAUAGUCCCUUCUUUUGCGAGCCUUCUCUGGCUCAGCCAUACCAGCUUUUUGGCUUCUGUGAAUGCAGACUUGUUUCACUCUUGUGCAAAAUCAUCUCUGCCACACUGCUCAUUUUCCUGGCUCAUCAUUUCAUUUACUUUGCUGUGAUUUCCUCUGUCGUCCCUUUUCUCUCUCUACAUCAAACACAUUUCAUAUCAAGAUCCUUCAUGACCUCUGUUCAGUCGAUCGUUCGCAGUCUGUCUGUAGUCGUUGAUCCGGAGUUGUCCACCAUCACCAUUCCAAACAGCCAUUUCUCCCCAUCACAGCUGGGCAGUGCUCUCUAGAAGUACCUUCCGAGACCGACCUGCCUCACUGAUUCUGUGCACUCCCACCUGUCUGGGGUAUUCAUCCUUGUUGUGCCACAUUCCUAAGGAAAGCCUCAGAGAGGAGACUUGUCUUUUGUUCUUCUCAGCGCACUGAAAAAUGACAGCUCCCUAAACUGCACUGCUAGUAAUGCAUCCCAGAUGUACGCAUUUGUGAUUCUAAUGUCACCUCAAAGCUUCUUUGUCCCCACACUGAUGCUCCUCCGCUUUAUCCACUGUUAGCAGGGGAGUUCCCUUUCAAACGCACAGCAGUUGUGUCAGUUCCCUGAUGUUUAAUUUGCAGUCAGCAAGAAACUAGAGGAAACAUGCAGACAAAAAAGGCUGUUUCUUAUCUUUCUUCACACUCUUUUAAAGGUGACUUUUCUGAGUCACAGCUAAUGUAAACCAUUUGAAAAAGAUACAGCCUAGACCUAUCCCAUGGCUUAGAGAAACCUAAGAGAUUGUUUAGUGUUUGCACUAUUGGUGUGUGUUCUUAAAAUAGGCACCCUGUCUGAUGUAACUCGGUCAAGUCCUUCUUCAGAUUUUGUGGAGUUCAUUUCCCUUGUCACCCACAGCAAUCUUCAAUGUACAGAACAUUGAUUUGUCAAUGAAACAGCAAAACUGACGCAAAGUUUGGCUCUUCCUCUGUGUUUACAGGAGAAUCUCAGUACAGAGGAUAUGCACUGUAGUUGUUCCUUUGUUUGUAUUUAAUGGUAAGAGAAACGAGAACGUAAUCAUGCCCUGUAUCACUCAAUCUCCUCCCUGUCUCUAAGCAUUUGAGCUCUUUGAAAUAAAAGCAGGUGAUAAUGCAGCUUUUUCUGGCAGUUGAGAGCAUCUCAGAGGCAGAUGAGGAGUGAUUCUGCCCAGAUCAUUCGCAUUGUGCAGUUUCCAUCUGACAACAGCUUCCUGCUGAGCCGUCUUUCAUGUAGAGGAGCGUGGCCAUUACAAACAGUAUUUCAAGUACCAAAAAAUAAUCAAUGUUAGAAGCACAGCGUUUCCUGCUUGUUUUCUUUGUACUCUUGACAACCCAGUCAGAUAGUGCUAGCUUCAUUUUUUCCCACGAACAGCUGGCUAAUUUCUCCUUGUCUGAAAUCACUCCUGUGCAUGCUACUAGACUUAAGGAUGCAAGGUCAAAAUGAGGUUGGGCUCAGAAACCAGCUAUUUCUGGUUAGCUGUUUUACCUAUUUGUUUUCUGGUUAGCUUUGUACAGCAAAGUGAACUCACUUCACUUAUCCUCUGAACCUAUCAUCCCCUUUUAAAGCACAGCAGAGGGUUACAAAAGAUUAGCUGCCAAAGGUUUCUGAAAACUGAAAGCCUUUUAUAAAACGAGUGUUUCAAGCUCACAAUUUUGGUUGGCCUGAGACUAAAAUGAAGACAUAAGAAAGAGCAAAGGCAAGAAGGAGAGAGAAAAGAGUCAGUUGAGCUGCCUGACACUGAGGAGGAGGGCUCAAGCUUUUGGAGGGAACUAAGGAAUAACAGUGAAAAAAGAUAACACUGAGCUGUGUUGCACCAGACCAAGGAGCAAUCUUAGUGAGCCUGAACUGCAGGCCAGUGCUAGGAAGGUGUGGAAAAACAAAUCAGUGAGAAAACAGUUCAUUGAUGAAAUUGCCCAAAUUAAGCGGGGGAAAAAAAACACUGUAAUAUAUAAACACUUUAACUGCAAAGUUGUUUAACGUGAGCUGUCCUAGAAACUGGCAGUGUAGGCUGUUAUUGCUACUUCCUGGGCUACGUAACAGACACAAGGACAGACUGUGAAAUUUUCCACCUAGUGAUAGGGAUAUUAAAUUGUAAAAAAAAAGAUAAGAGUAUCUCAAAAGCAGUGAGCUGCUGUUUUCUCAAGACCUUGCUGCUUAACUUCAAAAGAAACACUGUGGAAACAAAGUGAUUCUCAAGAAGAGAUAAAUCUUUUACAGAAAGAAUAGUGUUGUAAAUCAUCUUUCAAUUUUCAGAAUUUGUUUUACCAAGUUAGCAAAUUAAAGCAAGAGAAAAAUGUAUUCCAGCUGAUUGGGAUCAAAAUCCGAGUCUCAGACAUGCCAAAGAAUAGUCCAGAUAGAGAAGCCAGCAAUUAACUGAUGAAGAAAAAACCAUGGCAAAGUGGAAAGUGGAGGGGGAAAAAAGGACGGAAGACUGGAAAAUGUCAUUGCAUUAGCAGAAGUACAGCCAAAAUGGAUGAUUUAAAUAUAUGAGGAACAACCCAAAAGGUUGUAUGGAGUGAGGUUUUCUUGGGAGUUAGCAAGUAUGAAUCGUUGCACAGUGACAGUGUUGGCACUUAGAAAGAAAGCUGCACGAAGCUUGGUUGAGUUGGAAAGAGCGUACUUCCACAGUGGUUGUUUUCUAUUUAUUUAAAAGAACAGAGAAGAGACACAGAGAAGAUAAGCUGUCAGGAAAGAGAAGGAGGAAUAACUGAAUCCUCACAAAGCACUUGGUAGUGAUUGAGCUGGGUCUGCGCAGUGCUAAGUGUUUCCAGGGCCAGAAGGCCAGCAGCUGCCCAGGGGACAGAGGAGCUGAGCACCAGAGCCCAGAGUCCAGUGCCACAGCUGAGGAGCUCCCUGCAGCCCCAGGGAAAGGGCAGCCCCUUCUGCACAGGGCCUGUCACUACCAAGCAGCACAAGUAACACGUCUGCAGCUUUCUGAAAAACAAAAUAAUUAUUCAUUUCCUUUAAACGGAAAUAUUUGAAGAUCAAAUAUAUUUUGAUAGGCAAAAAUGACAAAAAUAUAAACAAUCCACCUUUCUCAUUUCACUUCAAGAAAGUAAGGGAUCAGGUGCUAGACAUGAAAGGCCUGUUUCAGCAGCUAUUUUCUUCAGCUAAAGCAAAGGGAGCAGAUGCAUUAAAUAUGCAUCUUUUCAGACUGAAGCUGAACAUAAGAAAGAAGCGAUGGGUUUUCAUUUUAAAGGACCCAGUAUCUUGCUGAGUUAUUCAUAUCAGUGUUUGGCUUCCUCUCACAAGCAAAAGCAAAUAGUUAAACUGUAUUUUAAAAUAUUCUAGUAUCUCAGGAAAGGUAGAAUUCUUGUUGGCAUUUUCAGCUGUAUGUAUUUUUACAGAAAAAGACCCAAUUAAAAAGGUAAAAUAGGUAAGGCAACAAGCACCCACUGUAUUGGCAGUUCAGACUCUCAGACUGCUGAGAACUGUCCCCAGAUAAAUGAGGUUACAUUUUGCUUACACCCUUAGCAUAUAUACUGAAUAACAGAUUUCUCUAAAUUUAUAUUGAAAUAAAUUUGGCAAGAGCUACUAGAACAGGAGGAAAAUGAUGACUGAACCUUAGGAGCAGUAUUUGUUAGCUAGAAGUCUCACGAACCCCCUUUUGAAAAUUAAUACUUUGGUUGUGGGAACAAGUCAGAGAAAUUGAUAAAGACUGCUCAGUGCUUUCAGUAAAAAAAAAAUGGAAAUUUUGUUGUAGAUUAUGUGUUUAUGAAGAGAAAGAAAAAUCACUUAAACAAUACUGAGUGCAAAGAAGGUCUUGGGAAAAAAAGGUCAUCAAGAAUAAGUAAAACAAGAGCAGUAGAUGUUAAGAUGUUGUGGUUUACAAAUGUAAGAUCUAAUGACCACAAGGGAUUACAUCUUCCUAGCUGAAUUCUACCAAGUAUUUAAAAUCAUUUGAGAGGUAGUUGUAUUCACAUCCUGUGUGCAAUGUGCUGCCAUGUGAAAAGGAGGUUUUUUUCUCUGUUCUCUUGUACCCUUUUUUGGUGUCUUAGAUAGUCUCAUACUCAGGCAGAGCCACUGAAUCCUGAGAUGUUUAUAUUUCUUUCUGUCCACACUGUCUGUAACUGUAAUCUUCUGUCUGGGUUUAAACAGAAAUCAAACUGAAUUCACUGAGGCUUGGUAGAUGCCAGGUAAUGCCCAUAAAGUACUUUGCAGUCGUUCACGGUGCCAGAUCACAGAGGAAGGUUUCUCUUAUCAUUUGACACAGAAAGGUCUGUGAAGGACUGGGACAGAACUUCCUGUGCAAAGUCCUCUCGCAGGUGAACCUUCCUCCUCUAUCCUUUCAAUGAUUGAAUGAUACAAACAAAGCCCUGACAAAGCUGUCCUGUGGCCAGGGAAGUCUCUGGAUGAUGAUUCUUCAGCCAUCUGUGAGUCUGUGAGCUCAUUACCUAUGGUAACUUGAAAGCAUCUAUGUACCUAAUGAAAAUGGAUUUCCUGUUUUUAUCUCCAUAUUCAUCUAGGCGGGGUUUUGUACUGCAGUUAACCCUCAUUUUCUUAAAACAAACAUCGCAGGAAACCGUUGAUUUUGAAAACAUCCUCUUUUCAAAGUAAAUUUUGGCAAAUUUCAAAAGUUCCAUGGUUACCAUGGUACUUCCAUCAGAAAAUACUCCUGAUCAAACAGUUAGCAGGUUUCACGUCUCCUAGCAGUCGUAUUUCAGAGAAUCUAGAGCAGCCAUAUGACUAAUAUGCUGAACAGCUCCAUUAACAACCAAAAGAACUAAACUGAAAAGUCAAGAUUUCUCAACAAAGGAAUGCCUUCAGACUGUACUGUUGGAAAAUGUAGAUAGAUUAUCCUGGAAAAACAUACUUUGAUAUGGAAAGGAGGCACAGUAACCUCACUUUGCCCAAAUGAUUCAACAUGUCCUGAAGACAGUUGCUCAGUCAAUCAGAAAGCUCUGCCCCCUGCCUGUCUUGCUUAUACCUGAGCUGAUCUUUCAGGGAGUGGUGAAGGAGCCAGGCUUUGUGAUCUAAUUCUUACCAGGUAUUUUCCUUACACACACCUCAAUGAACUCCUGCUUCUAAACCAUAAGACAAAACGUUCUAAGAGGGUCAGUCCAUGGGAUGCAGCGGUCUCCUGUACCAACUCACACCUCUCUCCAACAUUUACAAGCAUUUCCUGAACCAUGCAGCUGACAGCUGCUUGCUCACACAGUGGCUUCUCCACAGGACUGCACCAGCAGUGCACAGCUGUUGAACUGCAGGAGACCUGGAGAGAAAUCCCCUCAUCUGCCCCAUCGACAUCAGCACUGCGUCCCAGGAGGAAACCUUUGGUUCUGGCCUUCCCAGGAGCAGCUCACCUUGGGUCCAUGUUUGUUGUGCUGCUUUAGCAAUUGCUGCUGCAAUUCCCUUGAAGGUGAAAAAUGCAGUCACCCUCCAUUCCCACCCCAUCUGUGUCCUUAACUGCACAGGCCAAGUACUGAUAGAAAAUGGAAUGUGUUCAUUCGUUUUAUGAUUGUUGCUGAGUGAAAUGCCACGAGUGACUCUGCUUUUGGAACAAGCAGUACUUAUGACACGGGAGUGGUUCAUUCCUUCAGUUAUCCCCAUAGGUAGGAAAAUGGAGGUGGAAAAAAAUAAAUAUUUCAUCAAUACACAAGAGAAUUUGUCCAUACCACAAGGUAUUGCUCUUCUCAAAAGAGACACGCAUUUUGCACCAGUGCUGUUACGCUGUGCCUCACCCAUGACAUUUUCUGAAGAGGCAGAGCCACCUCUAGGCUCCUCACUGGCGCAGAUGAAACUGAAUCUUGCAGUCCCAACACAGCUUUUGCAGAAUGGAAACAGCGUGUGCCUGGGAAAAAGACUUAGAAAGUCCUUCUUUCUCUGCCUGUGCUUGCUAGGUCCUGGUGGGUAAAUACAGAGACUCUUGCUGCUAGAAAAGACACAUAGUAAUUUCUAAUCUGCACACAUUUCCCAUCUCAGCAGCAGCCGCCACCAUCACAUUUCUCUGGGGUGCUGGCACUGAUAAAGCAGGAGUAGAACCAGGUCUCUGUGUUCCCUCCUGUCCUACCUACUUCCUGGGCCAGCUUCAGGCUCCCUUUUUCAAGAGAAACCUCUGCUGUUGGAGCCUGAGUUCAACCGCAUUACAAAGCUUGUGGUGUCUUGCAAUUAAGCACGCCUGCAGCUGCUGGCAAGUGAGGGAAACGACCCUGAGAACAGUCAGUUCCCUUCCUUGGAGUGAUCUCCCAUCAGUUGCCAGUUCCUGAGCCAAAGCUCAGGCCAGGAGGCAGUCAGCAAAGCAGAUAAUUGCCUGGCAGUGAUUGACACAGAGUCAAGGGUGAGUGGGGAAGAAUGAGCAGGGAGGGUUCGGUUUCAGAGAGAGGUAUUUUUAUUUAGCAUUUGUCUAUGCAGGCAGUUGGGGGCUUUUCUCCAUCACAUUGGCUUAAACUUGAGGAGAAGGACUCGUAAUUUUACACCUUUUCAGCAUUUCAGCUGGUUCUGCUGACAUAUAUGGAGAUCAAAGAUGAGAAGGGACAGAAAAUUGAUUUUCCAACCUUCAGCCAGAACAGAGAAAAAGUACUCAAGGCUAAAUGGAAGUUUAGAAUUUUUUUGACUGAGUGGAGAGGAAGGAGCAAGCACCUGCCAGUAAUAAAUAACUAUUAGGAAACAGUAUUAGGAAAUACUGCUAAAAAGAAAUGCUGCUGCUAGUAUCUACUUUCAGCAUUGGAGGAUCUAUAGCCAGGCAGCUCAAAAUUUAUUUAGAUAUCAACAGCUUGUGUGCAACUUCUCUCAAAUGCAGAGCAGCAGCACUGUUAGAGAAGCCAGCACUCAGUGCUUUGACAAAGAAGCAGUCAUUACAGAACAGAACAUUUCGGCUUUCCAGACAGUAAUACCUAGAGUUAGCAAUAGCAUUGUGUACUUUAGCAAAUUUAUAUUCAAACUGCUAUCUACAAAGGGAAGUAAAGCUUAUCUGUACCUUUUUGCUGUAACUUUGAUACUGAUCUUUAUAGCUAUUCUUCCAGUAAGAGAACCUAUGAAUUAUAAACUGCUUAAGCUAAACUAAAUGUGGAGACAUUAGUAAAAGCUAAACUAAAUGUGGAGACAUUAGUAAAAGCUAAACUAAAUGUGGAGACAUUAGUAAAAACACUAUCUGUCCGCUAAUAAAGGUUUACAUUUUUACCAGGUUUAGAGAUACAGUUGCCAAACUAUUCUAACACUCUGAGCAGGUGCAAAAUGUCCCCAGUUAUACACAAAAGUUGCUGCACUAGAAAUUGUUUUGUUUUUCAAGAAUGCAGUAUCAGGCAGUGUAUUCUGCCCUGCAGCCCAUUCCUUCGCUUCCCCUGAGCUGCUUAAUCAAGGCAGGGUCUACUAGACAGAAGGACAAAGCAUGGCAUAAAACCAGGACAUCGAACAGGUUUAGCCAGAAUCACGUACACGGCCUCUGAGCAGGCAGUCAGCCUAUCUGCACAGGUAGGACUGCUGGUAGUGCAUCCCAGGGGCAGGGGCAGAGGCUGGAAUCCUUACAGCCCUGCUACCCAGCCCAGGGGGGAGCUCACACUGUGAGGGAAGUAGCUCCUAGCAGUUCAGAAGCAAAAGUCCUCACAAAGCAGCUGCUGAGGGAGCUGGGCCUAUUUUCAUAUGGGAGCAGUUGAGCAACAUUGUUGAAGUUCUUUAGUCCAGAGGUAUCCAAUGGCACCAGCACCCUCUUGCUGUUGAGCCAGCCGGCCUUUUUGUUUGUGGUCUGUAAAAGGAAGCAGCAUUAUGGCUGGAACCCAGGUGCCAUGAGAAGAACCUUCUUACACAGCACAAAUGUGGUACAUUCCUGCCCAGUGGCUGCAAUCCACUGGAAGAGACUAUUUUGGCUGUGCUGAAAGAUUACCUGCUCUAGGACCAGUCCCAAAAUACCAGCUACCAGUUUAUUCUGGUAGUUGUUCCACAGCUGAUGGCAGGAAUGGCCUCAGCAAACCCAGGCCCCUGAGACCAGCAUGAAAGUUGGGAGUAAUGCGGACUUAUUCCUUCAUGAUACAAGGGGAUCAAGUUAGGUAACACCAAAAAAAUAAUAAUGGAAUAUACACAAGUGUAUGGGACCCCGUGGUGUACAUUCACAACUGCUGAGUGAACUGGCUGAGGUCACUGCAAGGUCACUCUUGGCUGUCUUUAAAAAGUUGCAGUGAUCAGGGAAGGUUCCUGAGGACUGGAAGAAAGUACAUGCGAGCCUAAUCUUCAAGAAGAGCAAGAACAAUCUGGGCUAGUAAACCCUACCUCAAUCCCUGGGAAAGUGAUGGAGCAGAUCCUCCAGGAAGCCAUCUCCUUGGAAGGCCAAGAAAGUGAGUGAGAGAGCUGUCAGCAUGGGACUUGGAAUGGGAGAUUCAUGCCUGCCCAGCCUGGCAGCUUUCGAUGAUGAAAUGACUGGCUCAGUGAAUGACAGAGCCAGACUCUUUCUAGCUGCAAUGGGCAAAAAUUGAAAAAUGGGAAAUUCUGCUUUGAUGUAAGAGAACAUUUAUUUUGCUGUGAAGGUGAUUAACACUGAAGCAGGUCAUCCAGAGAGGCUGUGGAGUCACCAUCCUUGGAGAUAUUCAAAAGCCAUCUGGAGGCAGUCCUGAGCAACUCGUUCUAGUGGACUCAGCCAAACUUUCAACAAUUGGAUCUAAGGUCUGUCUAUUCUUUGCCCAGCCAGCACCUGACAGUGGCCAACAGCAGAUACUUCUGGAAAGAACACAAGAAGUAAAGCACUCUGCGUGACCUCCCUAGUAUGUACUCCCAGUUCCAAACAACCUGCAAUUCAGGAAUUUCUUGUGCAAGAAGUGAUAUAUAGCCAUAUCCGUUUUCAGUAGUUCUUCAGCUUUUGAGCAAACAAGCAGAUGUGUCUGAUCAGCCUACUUUAAACUUUUCUCCUCACACCA